GGGUGGGGAUAACAAUAUUUGCCCAACCCCCAAAACCACUAGUUUAGCUUCAAGCUGAUGUCACCACAAAAGGAAUAUAACGAUUGCCCAAAUAUGUAUCUCUCGGCAGACGUGACAGCCUGAUUUCUUAGGUGACUUGAUACCCAGCAUCUUUACUUUGCUAUAUAAGUAAUAUAUUGCCUUUUAAGUGAUCACUUGUUAAUGAUGACGCUGACUCCCACCCACCUUCGGAUCCUUCCCAUAUUUAGUCAUACUUUUUCACCCUCGUUCCUCUUAACUUUCGGUCGAUCAGGCUGUAGUGGGCGGGGAGAGUUGGUCUGGGAGAUAAACCAGUCAGCGUGUGAGUAUACUGAGAUCCACCUGCAAAGAUCUGGUUAUUUUUAUGAGCAGUGAUCGCGCGUUUAACGUGGUUCCCCGACCUCAGAAUCCUGCAAAAUGAAGAAGGGACAGGAACCCACCACAGACUUGCUGAACAUUCAAUAUAUUAUGACUUAAAACAGAG